UCGGUCUCCCUGUCUGUGCUCGUUUCCGAUCUCCUCUACACGAUUGUUGGAUUGCCGGUGUCUCUGUUCUGUCGGUAUCCUCCGGUUGUCGCCAGUAUGUACCUCAUCAAAUCAAGACCUAUCACCUCUGCGGUUGAGGGAUCAAGGAUGCGGGGAGCGAGUAAGAUCAUUGGCAUUGACAAAAACGUGAAGAAAAAGGGAAAAAGGAGAAGCAUUUAGAAUGACCGAUUUCAUAAAUCAUGUUGAUGAGUCUGAUAAAUCUGUUUCACAGCUAAUUAAAGAUUUGACUGGUGGAGUAGGUGUGGAUUAUUGCUUCGAGUGCACAGGCGUCCCCAACUUCACCAAAGAAGCCCUUGAAGCCACUAAAUUAGAAAUUCAGCUUGAUGAACUUUUGACUCAUGAAGUUCAACUGUCAGAUAUUGGUAGAGCA